GGUUGUAACUAACUCUCCCCAUCAAGAGCAUUGAUGACAUCCGAUGGAGCAGAGAGAAAUAUCUAACUUUGGAGGAGAAGUUGCCAAAGGAUAUUCCCUGGGUCACAGGAGAGGCUGCAGAAAAGGGCCCCAUAGAAAUUGGUUGCUUUUGGGUGAGCUGGAUAGCAGGCAUGUUUCACCAGCUGCUCCAGCUCGUUCAGAAGGAGAGGAGAGACCAAGAAGAGACCAGACCGAGGCAGAAGAAAGCUGGCCUUCUGUCUUGGUUCGGUAGGAAGGCAUCUUCAGAAAAUUUCAUCAGUAACCAUGAAAAGCGUUUAAGGAAAUUGAAGGAACUAAAAUUCGAAAUCCAGAAGUGUAAAUUCGAGCGGGAUGUACUUUCUCAAAUCCUGGACCUUUAUGUCAAUGAUGGUUUGAACGACAGGCUGAACGUUGAAUUGCCAAUGCUUAAAUCCCAACAUGAGAUGAGAACGAUGGAUAUGCAUAAGAUGACCAACUGGAUAAGUGAUGCCAUGGAGAAGUACAAGGAGCUCAAACAAGAGAACAAUUCCUACCGCAUCAGAAACUUCCACCUCCUGAAUGAAUGCAACGAAUUGAAGAAGAAUGUAAGGAUUUUGAUGAAUGAGAACAGAAAACUGGUGGAGUAGACUGAACUGCAAGCAUCCUGUGAGGAGGGAAAGAGGUUCUGAGAUGAGGCCAGCAAGACCAUCUACACUGCAGAUACUGAAUCCUUGUGUCCUGUUACUUUUGAGUAAAUUGAAUGUAUCCGUGAGAAUUAAACAGUGAUCUCGAACUCGUCACUCUUAAGAACCUUCUUUAUUGACGUGUGAUAUAACCAUCUGAAAUCCCACAGCUCUCAGGCAGAGAUAGAUCUCUGCAUUCUCACAGGGAUUGGCCAUCAUAAUUACUUCCCAGUCAGACUGAGAUACAAAGAAAAUUGUACUUUCAGUGUAGAUUGUGUGUCCAACUCUGAACACCAACUUCAUGACAAAAAAUUAUCAAUGCUGUAUCCUUAUCAAAUAUUUAGCUACUGCUAAAAUAUACUCUUUUGUGGAUGAGAGUGUUGAACAUAUUAAUGGAAUAUUCAUCAGGUUUUCUGUAGUAUAUCCCAGGAAAUAAAACCAUAUUAUAGGGAGUAUAGAAGCAGUCAUGAACAGGAUUGCUUGCUUUUGGUUUCCUUCAAACAUAAUAUCAAUUGUAACUGCACAGAAGAGAUAAUAAAUAGCAAGACCUUUCAAGGGAUAGGGCUUUUAUGGUUGGUUGUUUUCUUGUUCUUCUUGAUUAGGAUGAUGACUUUUGUUCUUGACAAUGUACUAUGUCCCAUUUGGGAUUUCAACUCAAGCAGACUACAUGGUUUACAAUUCAGGUUCUAGAUUUCUUUAAAAGCUGGACAAAAUAUCCAAGCAAAGGUGCCCUAUGAG
rnacentral:lncRNA from 14 species